rnacentral:rRNA from 1 species
GAUGAACGCUGGCGGCGUGCCUAAUACAUGCAAGUCGAGCGAACGGACGAGAAGCUUGCUUUUCUGAUGUUAGCGGCGGACGGGUGAGUAACACGUGGAUAACCUACCUAUAAGACUGGGAUAACUUCGGGAAACCGGAGCUAAUACCGGAUAAUAUUUUGAACCGCAUGGUUCAAAAGUGAAAGACGGUCUUGCUGUCACUUAUAGAUGGAUCCGCGCUGCAUUAGCUAGUUGGUAAGGUAACGGCUUACCAAGGCAACGAUGCAUAGCCGACCUGAGAGGGGGGAGGGCCGAGGCGGAAAUGAGAGACGGGCGGAGAGCCAAAGGGAGCGAGGGGUAGGGAUGCGGCAGGACGGGGAGAAAGCAUGAAGGAGGAAAGCAGGGGGAGUGAUGAAGGUAAGCGGAUGGGAAACCUUUGGGAUGAGGGAAGAAAAAAGGCGGAAGUAACGAGGGAGGUAGGGCCGGGAGUGAAUCAGAAAGCCCCGGAUACCUGAGG